rnacentral:tRNA from 1 species
GGAGGGUAUAGCUCAGUGGUAGAGUGUGUGCUUAGCAUGCACAAAGUCCUGGGUUCAAUCCCCAGUACCUCCA